ensembl:lncRNA
AGGUGUGUAUAGGUGUGUGUAUAGGUGUGUAUAGGUGUGUGUAUAGGUGUGUGUAUAGGUGUGUAUAGGUGUGUGUAUAGGUGUGUGUAGGUGUGUAUAGGUGUGUGUAGGUGUGUAUAGGUGUGUGUAGGUGUGUAUAGGUGUGUGUAGGUGUGGAGGUGUGUAUAGGUGUGUGUAGGUGUGUAGGUGUGUGUGUAGGUGUGUGUGUAGGUGUGUAUGGGAGGGAGGUGUGUAUAGGUGUGUGUAGGUGUGUAUGGGAUUGUUAGGCCAAAGCUUUUCCUCUCAUUUCUUGGCAUAUUUUGCUAUGCUAUUUCACUGUGUGUGUGAGUGUGUUGUUUUGUGUCUCCCUCUCUUUCUCAUACUCUCUCUCUUUAAUCUCUAUUGCUCUCUUUCUCAUACU